UCUCUUUCUAAACCCAUCGUCACAAACUAAACCCAUAGUUCUUACUUUGCCCUAGCUGCUAGUAUAGAUCUGCAAGGCAAUUCCUAGAACUCUCGAUGUUUUCAUCUGGGUCACAAAGUAAAGAUACUUACUCUGCCCUAGCUGCUAGAGUCGAUCUGCACAACAACUAUCAGAACUCUCAACGUUUUUAUUUAUGCUUUCUCAAAACAGAGAAAGCGCAGGUCAUCGAAGUUUUGCCCUAAUAAUUCUACUCUAUCUACUCGAAUCUCAGGGAUGAAAAUGGCGAGCUAGAGAAGGCACGAGGCAUUAAGAAGGCGAUGGGCUUUGUUCAUGUAUCUGGAUAAUACUUGAUGAAAUUUAAACUACUUUUGGGGGUUGGAGUUCAAGCCAAGAUGCAAGAUUAGAAGAUGCACAACCUCAUUAUUUUGCUACGGAUGUCAUGCAAAACUUGAUAUCAUAGUCUAGCCCUGAAUGUUAUUUAACUAUUUUUUUAAGAAAAUGUUGGAACCAACAACAAUGGAUGUAAACUGAUUUAUUGAGCUUAAUCAGAUUUCUAUCUUUCUGGAUACAUAUAUCGAGUUUUUGUAUUGGCACCUUC